AGACCCGAAACCCGGUGAUCUAGCCAUGGGCAGGUUGAAGGUUGGGUAACACUAACUGGAGGACCGAACCGACUAAUGUUGAAAAAUUAGCGGAUGACCUGUGGCUGGGGGUGAAAGGCCAAUCAAACCGGGAGAUAGCUGGUUCUCCCCGAAAGCUAUUUAGGUAGCGCCUCGUGAAUUCAUCUCCGGGGGUAGAGCACUGUUUCGGCUAGGGGGCCAUCCCGGCUUACCAACCCGAUGCAAACUGCGAAUACCGGAGAAUGUUAUCACGGGAGACACACGGCGGGUGCUAACGUCCGUCGUGAAGAGGGAAACAACCCAGACCGCCAGCUAAGGUCCCAAAGUCAUGGUUAAGUGGGAAACGAUGUGGGAAGGCCCAGACAGCCAGGAUGUUGGCUUAGAAGCAGCCAUCAUUUAAAGAAAGCGUAAUAGCUCACUGGUCGAGUCGGCCUGCGCGGAAGAUGUAACGGGGCUAAACCAUGCACCGAAGCUGCGGCAGCGACGCUCAGGCGUUGUUGGGUAGGGGAGCGUUCUGUAAGCCUGUGAAGGUGGCCUGUGAGGGUUGCUGGAGGUAUCAGAAGUGCGAAUGCUGACAUAAGUAACGAUAAAGCGGGUGAAAAGCCCGCUCGCCGGAAGACCAAGGGUUCCUGUCCAACGUUAAUCGGGGCAGGGUGAGUCGACCCCUAAGGCGAGGCCGAAAGGCGUAGUCGAUGGGAAACGGGUUAAUAUUCCCGUACUUGGUGUUACUGCGAAGGGGGGACGGAGAAGGCUAUGUUGGCCGGGCGACGGUUGUCCCGGUUUAAGCGUGUAGGUGUGUGUUCCAGGUAAAUCCGGUUCACUUUAACACUGAGGCGUGACGACGAGGCACUACGGUGCUGAAGCAACAAAUGCCCUGCUUCCAGGAAAAGCCUCUAAGCAUCAGGUAACAUCAAAUCGUACCCCAAACCGACACAGGUGGUCAGGUAGAGAAUACCAAGGCGCUUGAGAGAACUCGGGUGAAGGAACUAGGCAAAAUGGUGCCGUAACUUCGGGAGAAGGCACGCUGACACGUAGGUGAAGUGAUUUACUCAUGGAGCUGAAGUCAGUCGAAGAUACCAGCUGGCUGCAACUGUUUAUUAAAAACACAGCACUGUGCAAACACGAAAGUGGACGUAUACGGUGUGACGCCUGCCCGGUGCCGGAAGGUUAAUUGAUGGGGUCAGCGCAAGCGAAGCUCCUGAUCGAAGCCCCGGUAAACGGCGGCCGUAACUAUAACGGUCCUAAGGUAGCGAAAUUCCUUGUCGGGUAAGUUCCGACCUGCACGAAUGGCGUAAUGAUGGCCAGGCUGUCUCCACCCGAGACUCAGUGAAAUUGAACUCGCUGUGAAGAUGCAGUGUACCCGCGGCAAGACGGAAAGACCCCGUGAACCUUUACUAUAGCUUGACACUGAACAUUGAGCCUUGAUGUGUAGGAUAGGUGGGAGGCUUUGAAGCGUGGACGCCAGUCUGCGUGGAGCCGACCUUGAAAUACCACCCUUUAAUGUUUGAUGUUCUAACGUGGACCCGUUACCCGGGUUGCGGACAGUGUCUGGUGGGUAGUUUGACUGGGGCGGUCUCCUCCUAAAGAGUAACGGAGGAGCACGAAGGUUGGCUAAUCCUGGUCGGACAUCAGGAGGUUAGUGCAAUGGCAUAAGCCAGCUUGACUGCGAGCGUGACGGCGCGAGCAGGUGCGAAAGCAGGUCAUAGUGAUCCGGUGGUUCUGAAUGGAAGGGCCAUCGCUCAACGGAUAAAAGGUACUCCGGGGAUAACAGGCUGAUACCGCCCAAGAGUUCAUAUCGACGGCGGUGUUUGGCACCUCGAUGUCGGCUCAUCACAUCCUGGGGCUGAAGUAGGUCCCAAGGGUAUGGCUGUUCGCCAUUUAAAGUGGUACGCGAGCUGGGUUUAGAACGUCGUGAGACAGUUCGGUCCCUAUCUGCCGUGGGCGCUGGAGAACUGAGGGGGGCUGCUCCUAGUACGAGAGGACCGGAGUGGACGCAUCACUGGUGUUCGGGUUGUCAUGCCAAUGGCACUGCCCGGUAGCUAAAUGCGGAAGAGAUAAGUGCUGAAAGCAUCUAAGCACGAAACUUGCCCCGAGAUGAGUUCUCCCUGAGACUUUAAGUCUCCUGAAGGA
rnacentral:rRNA from 1 species